rnacentral:rRNA from 1 species
AGCAGUCGCCGCGGUAACACGAAGGGUGCAAGCGUUACUCGGAAUUACUGGGCGUAAAGCGUGCGUAGGUGGUGGUUUAAGUCCGUUGUGAAAGCCCUGGGCUCAACCUGGGAAUUGCAGUGGAUACUGGGUCACUAGAGUGUGGUAGAGGAUAGUGGAAUUCCCGGUGUAGCGGUGAAAUGCGUAGAGAUCGGGAGGAACAUCAGUGGCGAAGGCGGCCAUCUGGGACAACACUGACGCUGAGGCACGAAAGCGUGGGGAGCAAACAGGAUUAGAUACCCGCGUAGUCCCUGUCUCUUAUAC